GGACCCGCACAAGUAGUGGAGCAUGUGGUUUAAUUCGAUGCAACGCGAAGAACCUUACCAGGGUUUGACAUCCUGCGAAUCUCUUGGAAACGAGAGAGUGCCUUCGGGAACGCAGUGACAGGUGGUGCAUGGCUGUCGUCAGCUCGUGUCGUGAGAUGUUGGUUAAGUCCCGCAACGAGCGCAACCCACGUCUUUAGUUGCCAGCAUUUAGUUGGGCACUCUAGAGAGACUGCCGGUGAUAAACCGGGAAGGAGUGUGAUGACGUCAAGUCAUCAUGCCCCUUACAUCCUGGGCUACACACGUACUACAAUGCUACGGACAAAAGGGCUGCAAGUUCGCGAGGACAAGCA
rnacentral:rRNA from 1 species